CAAAUGUGUUGGAUCGAGGUUUUUGUCUAAGAUCUACUGUUGUAUGGAUUUGUUAUUCUCAAAUCUACUUUUGUUUUGGUUGAUUUUUUCCUCUGAUAUUCUUGAGCACCUUCACGAGACUUAAAAUAAGGUAACCACUUCUCAUUUUAUUGUUCUUCUACCAUGUUCUCAGAUCUACUUUUCUUUUGGUACGAGAUGUGUUAGAUUUGGGUUUUUCUCUCAGAUCUAUUUCUCUUUUGAAUGGUUUCGUUGCUCUCAGAUUUUCUUUUCCAUGUAUACUGUUCGAUGGAUUGUUUUUCUCAGAUCUACCUUUAUUUUGGUUGAUGUUUUGCUAUGAGAACCUUGAGCAACUUGACGAAUACAAAAAAGGUAACAAGAAUUCUGUUUUUUUUUCGUUCUUCUACCAUCUUCGACUUUUUUCUCUCAGAUCUAUUUCUCUUUGAAUGGUUUCUUUGCUCUCAGAUUUUCUUUUCCAUGUAUAUUGUUCAAUGGAUUUUUUCUUCUUAGAUCUACCUUUAUUUUGGUUGAUGUUUUUCUCUGAGAACCUUGAGCAACUUGACGAAUACAAAAAAGGUUGAAUCUUUGAACCUUUCACUCUUUGACUACGACAAUAAAGGUGGAUCAAAUCAAAUAUUUGAAGAACAUAGUAAAGGUUGAAUCUUUCAACCUUUAACUAUUUGACGACGACAAUAAAGGUACGUAAGUUUUAUACUUUGGUAAGUUUUAUACUUUGGCUGAUAUUCUCUU